rnacentral:rRNA from 1 species
AUUGAACGCUGGCGGCAUGCUUUACACAUGCAAGUCGAACGGUAACGGGCCUUCGGGUGCUGACGAGUGGCGAACGGGUGAGUAAUGCAUCGGAACGUACCCAGAGGUGGGGGAUAACGCAGCGAAAGCUGUGCUAAUACCGCAUGUGAUCUGAGGAUGAAAGCGGGGGACCGAGCAGCAAUGUUUGGCCUCGCGCCUUUGGAGCGGCCGAUGUCGGAUUAGCUAGUUGGUGGGGUAAAGGCCUACCAAGGCGACGAUCCGUAGCUGGUCUGAGAGGACGAACAGCCACACUGGGACUGAGACACGGCCCAGACUCCUACGGGAGGCAGCAGUGGGGAAUUUUGGACAAUGGGCGCAAGCCUGAUCCAGCAAUGCCGCGUGCGGGAAGAAGGCCUUCGGGUUGUAAACCGCUUUUGGCAGGAACGAAACGGUGUCCGCUAAUACCGGGCGCUAAUGACGGUACCUGCAGAAUAAGCACCGGCUAACUACGUG